AGAGUUUGAUCCUGGCUCAGAGCGAACGCUGGCGGCAGGCCUAACACAUGCAAGUCGAGCGCCGUAGCAAUACGGAGCGGCAGACGGGAGAGUAACACGUGGGAACGUACCCUUUGGUUCGGAACAACUCAGGGAAACUUGGGCUAAUACCGGAUAAGCCCUUACGGGGAAAGAUUUAUCGCCGAAGGAUCGGCCCGCGUCUGAUUAGCUAGUUGGUGGGGUAAUGGCCCACCAAGGCUCUGAUCUUUAGCUGGUCUGAGAGGACGAUCAGCCACACUGGGACUGAGACACGGCCCAGACUCCUACGGGAGGCAGCAGUGGGGAAUAUUGGACAAUGGGCGCAAGCCUGAUCCAGCCAUGCCGCGUGAGUGAUGAAGGCCUUAGGGUUGUAAAGCUCUUUUGGCAGGGACGAUAAUGACUGUACCUGCAGAAUAAGCCCCGGCCAACUUCGUGCCAGCAGCGGCGGUAAUUC
rnacentral:rRNA from 1 species